rnacentral:rRNA from 1 species
UACGGGGGGGGCAAGCGUUGUUCGGAAUUACUGGGCGUAAAGGGCUCGUAGGCGGCCAACUAAGUCAGACGUGAAAUCCCUCGGCUUAACCGGGGAACUGCGUCUGAUACUGGUUGGCUUGAAUCCGGGAGAGGGAUGUGGAAUUCCAGGUGUAGCGGUGAAAUGCGUAGAUAUCUGGAGGAACACCGGUGGCGAAGGCGGGUCUCUGGGCCGUAACUGACGCUGAGGAGCGAAAGCGUGGGGAGCAAACAGG